ensembl:snoRNA
AUCCCUUUGUAGUUUAUAAGUAUGAUAAUUGGGUGUUCACAUGCACGUGUGAGAUGUUUGAGUCCUUCAAACCUUGUUACGACACUGGCAUGUUACCCAUCUGACA